rnacentral:rRNA from 1 species
UACAGGGGGGGCAAGCGUUGUUCGGAAUUACUGGGCGUAAAGGGUUCGUAGGUGGCUUACUAAGUCAGACGUGAAAUCCCUCAGCUUAACUGGGGAACUGCGUCUGAUACUGGAAAGCUUGAGUGCAGGAGAGGAACGCGGAAUUCCAGGUGUAGCGGUGAAAUGCGUAGAUAUCUGGAGGAACACCGGUGGCGAAGGCGGCGUUCUGGACUGUAACUGACACUGAAGAACGAAGGCCAGGGGAGCAAACGGG